rnacentral:rRNA from 1 species
CAGCCGCCGCGGUAAUACGGAGGGCGCGAGCGUUACCCGGAUUUACUGGGCGUAAAGGGCGUGUAGGCGGCCUGGGGCGUCCCAUGUGAAAGGCCACGGCUCAACCGUGGAGGAGCGUGGGAUACGCUCAGGCUAGAGGGUGGGAGAGGGUGGUGGAAUUCCCGGAGUAGCGGUGAAAUGCGCAGAUACCGGGAGGAACGCCGAUGGCGAAGGCAGCCACCUGGUCCACUUCUGACGCUGAGGCGCGAAAGCGUGGGGAGCAAACCGGAUUAGAGACCCCGGUAGUCCCUGUCUCUUAUAC